UUUUAAAAAAUUGGAACUACCAUAAUUAUUGCAAAAUUAGGCAGUUUUCAUUUUUUGAGAAUGCCUGAAUAUGUUCAUUGUUCACUGAUAACCAAACUAAGGUGGCAGUCUUCCAAAAGAUGACAGGAUAGUGCAGCUUUUUAUUCCAACAUGAGGUGGAACCAAGAAUUUAAGAUUCACAGAAACAUUUGAGGAAAGCACUAGUCCUUUGGUAUCUCUAGAACACUCAAUCUUUUUAUUACCUUGGAUUAUGAAUCAGCAUUUGAAUUCAUGUCUUUUCUCUGAUCUUUGCUGCCCCCUGGUGACUCACACUGCACUUUUUCUCCAGUUUAAAUCUACUUAGUCUAUACCUAAUUAAUGUUGUAAUUAUUGUGUAAAGUAAAUAUUUAUGGGAAGCCAAUAUUUAAAGAUUUCCAAUGUGUAGGUAAAACAUUAACCUUGACUUAAUGUUAGCCCACUGAUCCCAAGAAAUAAAUUCAGAAAGGGUCUUACCAUUUGUAAAUGAAAACUGAAUUUGUAUUUUUGUGUGUUUACUGAUUUGUUUUUACUGUAUGGAUGAAUAAUUAUGCAUGAAAAACAAAUUAAAGGAAGUGGCAUGUACAUGCAUGAUAGGGCUUGGUGAAAUAUUGUCAAGUAUUAUUUUCAUUGAACCUCGUGUGGAUCACAGCUGGGGCUUACAGAUUUAGAGUGCUUGGCUGAAUAGUCACCUGGCUAUGAUGAAAAAUUCAUGGUUUCAGGCAAGAUUUCAAUUACUGCCAUUAUUCUAAAGGUGAAAAAAUAAAAACACCGUUACUUACAUGAAUGCCCUGAAUGGUAAAAUCUUUAAUAUGAUACCUAUUGUGAUUUUAGGAAAAGGAGGGGAAAGGCUUAUCUUUGAUGUAACUCCUUAGAAUUCCUCAUUUUAAUUUGGCUUACUAUCAAAAUUUUCCUAAUUGUUUCAGUUCAAACAUCAUUCUUGAAUUAUUAAUAGCACCAAACUCUUCAUACUAUCCUAAAGGCAAACAAUUGAGUAGCUGAAACUGUCCUUAUGUAUUUUUUUGUUUGUUUUUUGAAAACUCAUACCUCCACUAUUCUAGUUUUCCCCAAAGGUGAGCAUUUCCUAAAGUUUAAUGCUGUCUUUCAAUUUCUAUUUCUAUGUUCUUUGCUUUGGAGAUCUUACUCUUUGAAGCCUUAAGAAUUUCUCCAUGUAGACACCUCUAUAAUCUGCCUCUUCAACACUGACUGCUUUUCUCAACUUCUAUUUUGUAUUCCAGUGGCCUCCAUCAUAUGAGUCACUUGGUCGUUCCACUGUUUUUUUUUAACAAGUAUAAAGUAUCUCUACAGACAAUAUGGAGAGAAGAGAAAGAAACGAAACAGAAGUACUGAGUAGAAGCCCUGGGAUGAAAUAAACCAUGAGCAACCUGGUAUCAUAAAACAGAAGGAGCUGAGGACAUAGUCCUGAGUGAGAAAUGGUCCCUGCUGUCAUGUAAACACCAAGUCAACUGAACUUGGAGAGAACAGUGCAAUGACAGAAACAUGGACACCCACAAACCCCACCUUGCUCUAGCCCUGGCCUUACCAUUUACCCUCAGAUUUUCAAGCACACCUGCUGCAAUAAGCCCAGGUGGCCUCACAGGUGUGUGAGUGAGUGUGUGUAUUGAAGGUGCAGCUCCCCACCAAAUUAGCUUAGAGAAAGGUAUAUUUUCCAAGCUUCAUCAGAUGGUGAUACAGUUAGAGUAUAAGUGAUGGUGGCAGGUGAAAAAGCUGAAAAGCCAGAUACUAAGGAGAGGAAAUCAGAAGCCAAGAAGGCUGAAGCCAGUGCAAGGUUAAGAAGGGUAGACUCAAGGCUCAAAAGCCCAAGAAGAGACGUCUCUCUGCACUGAUUCCUCGCCAGUGGAAUUGGUACAUAUUCCCGAUCUGCUACGUAUUCCAGAAAGGCUGUGUAGAAGACGAAGUAUGUAACCUCAUAAUCCAGGAUUGAGAAGAAAAAGGAGAAGGUCCUUGCUAAGGUUACAAAUCUGUUGGUGGUGACAAGAAUGGUGGCAAGAAGGUGUUUUUUCUGAAGCAGCUGAGCAGUGGCUUGCUACUUGUAACUGGACCUCUGGUUUUCAAUGGAGUUCUUUGUAGAACAUACCAGAUAUUUGUCAUUGCUACCUCCAAAAUUGAUAUUAGCUAUGUGAAAAUUCCAAAUCAUCUCACUGAUGCUUACUUCAAACAGAAGAAGCUGUGGGAGUCCAGACACCAGGAAGGUGAAAUACUAGACCCAGAGAAAGAAAUGCAAGAUUACAGAGCAGUGCAAGGUUGAUCAGAAGGCCAAUGAUCAGAGCUAUUCCUCAGCUCCAAGAUGACCUAUGAUCUGUGCUUGCCCUGCUGUUCUAAAUUUCUUACCAAGAACAUAAUUAAAUAAUAAUUUAAUUGGCCAUGGUUAUUAAAAAAAUAAACAAAAGUAAACACAUUGUCACCAUCAUGGAUUUUAGUAGCAAAUGUUUGCUGAGUAUAUAUGUUAAGAAUUCACUUGCAACUACUAUAAGCCCUGGAACCCACUAUUAUUUCAAUAAAUAGAGACCAGGGGAAUCAGGCUAUUAAUAAUUCUUCUUAUACAUUUAUUAUAUAUUACAUAACAUACAUUACACACUCAUAUAUAUUAAUAUAUGCAUAGUAUAUAUUAUAUGUAAUAAAUGUAAAAUGAGUUAUGAGUUUUUGAAUAUGGCAAUGGGAAUUAAAUGAAGUAAAGGUCACUGUGGGCUAUCGUGGCCAAGGUCUCAUUAAAUUUCUGAAAAGUUGUCUAGACACAAUGCAUAGUAUAAAUGGGCCAUUAAAAUUACAUGGAAAAAUAAGAGUAGAGUUGGGAAAAAACAGAAUUUAUCAGUUCUGUCUCCCUGCCCGGUUUCUCUAUAGCCUAAAGUUGUGGGACAUUAUUACAGUGAGAAUUUUAGUUAGAUGAAUGGCAUUAUAAUAUGAUGUGGUUUUAAAAUUGUUUUUCCAUUAUUAAGAGCCACUUAUAAUACUGAGAGGUUUGUCUCUUUGUAAGGGGAAACACAUUACUGUUCUGAAACAACAUGCAUUCUAUUUUGCUGUGAAUUGAGACUGCAGAAAUAGAAAGAAAAUAGGGCAUUGAGGCUGAAUAAGGGGCUGAUCAUUUAUAGCUUGGUUAUAUUUUGGCUACACUGUUUGGAUUUUGGAAUAAAGAUAUAUGAUUAAA